CUGCCCAAUAGGAGCUGGCAGAAUUUUGAACCAUGAAGAACUGACUACAGGACAGAAGAAACUGAAGCCCCAUGUGUUCACUGUGGGUGAACAGACCUACAGGAAUGUCAAGAGCCUGAUUGAACCAGUCAACCAGUCUAUUGUUGUCAGUGGAGAGAGUGGUGCUGGAAAGACAUGGACGUCUCGCUGCCUAAUGAAGUUCUAUGCUGUGGUGGCCACCUCACCUGCAUCUUGGGAGAGCCACA
rnacentral:lncRNA from 10 species